GGGGGCGCGGGACGCGGGGCGGGGAUGGAGGACAAAGGGCUGCGGUGUGGGACGCGAGGUUCGAUACAUGGCACGUACGGCCGGGGCGCGGACGUUGAGGUUGGGACGCGAGGUUGGGUACGUAGCACGUGAGGCUGGGGACAGCGCCGGGGACACGGGCCGUAAGGCUGGGAGCACGGUGUUGAGCACACGGCACGCAGGCCGGGGGACGCGGAGCACGGGGCUGGGGGACGGGACGUGGAACAGGAAGUCUGACAGGGCUGGGACACGGCCAGGAAGGCGCGAUAACGGCUGGCUGUGGGGAAGCGAGUGGGACACUGCCUCUGUAUCCCACCGAGUGCCCUCUCCGUGCGGCGUGGCCCUGGUUUGGGGAGGUGGAAGCCCCUGGGGCGGUGCUCGCAGCCCCCGUUUGACUCAGCCUUAGGGGUGUCUGCUCAUCCUGAGCAGCGCUGCGCCCAGAUUGGGACGGCGAGAGUCAGAUCCCCGCCAAGAGCUGCGGCGUACCAUCUCCCCCUGCACACAGACAGGGUGGGCGCGCAGGCCCCCCGGCACCAGCAGGGCCCGCCUGCCCGCACCCCGCUGCAAUCUUCAUACCUCUGAGCAGCCUCUCGCUCCAGCUCGGCACAUGGCGAGGCCCGGCCUCCCUCUGCUGGCUGCUGCGGGAUCCGUCGCCACACCACGGGGGCUCGGGGUGGCUUCUGGCCCGCAGCUGUGGUACGACAGCACCGAGGUUAAAGGUGGUGCUUAGCGCUCCUGGCAGUGGUUUGCAGCUCCCCAGUAUCACCCAGCCCUGAGCUUGGAGGAAAGAAUGGCAACUGCACCCUGCAGCAAGGGCAGAACCACUUUAUUCCCAUAAAGCACGGGGAACGUUAGAGUUGGUGCGAGGGAGACAACAGGUCCAAAGCCUGGGGGGGCUAUAAAUAAAAGACACAAGCAAGAAUGAAGGAUGCAGAGCCCAGCUGCAUCCCAGGCUGUGCAAUGCCCAAAGGACAAGAGACCCCAGGCACGCAACUGAUGGCAGAGGGCUUUCAGCUCUUAACAGGUGUGGAUGCGGCCUUCAUCGUCUUCUUCAGGUGAUGGUAAUUGGGCAGGAUUUUCAUCAGGAAGUCUAGCUGCAGUGUCUGGGGCUGAAAGGAGAAGCACUGUCAGCAGCAGGCAGCCGUGAGGGGAGCCUGGGGCCAGGGGGACAGCACCUACCUGUGGCCGCUCGGUCUGCACACGGCGAAGGCAGUCGGCACCGUAGAUGACGGUGUUCUCAGGGAUCACCUCGUAGGUGUUAACGUUGCAGCAGGCCCCGAUGAUGCAGCCACUUGUCAGGAUCACAUUCCUGCCAACGAAUGCUGAAAGGAGAGUCCCUGUGAGGGCCACCCUGCUCGGAGCCACGUGCUGCUGCUCUAACAGCAAAAACUCCGGGCAGAACAAAGACAGCCUGAGCUCACCUUUGGAUUCAAUUACAUUGUUAUCUCCCACUUUCAUUGCCUGUGAAUCUGCAGGUUAUUGUCAAAGGAAAACCUUUUGCUUUUGGUUCAAAAGGUGUGCCCAAUGCCACUUUCAAACCAAAACCUGCCCCCUAAGUACCCCCAGGCUACCCGUGCCUGGGCAACAUCCAUGUGUUUCCCUGCAGCACAAGGAUACAGCACCCGACUUCAAAGACAUUGUUGGUGCCAAUGAUCAUGGGCUUGGGCUCCACCUCCUCUGUUUCUGGCGUGAUGUUUUCUGGGUACCUGGAAGACAUGCGGACGUGCUUUAGGCGUUAGCAGCAGCCAUCCUCAGAGCAGGGCAGGAAGAGGGCAGCCCCGCACGCACCCGUUGAUGAUGAGCGCCUGUUCCUCUAUCAGGUUGCCUUCCCCGAUCACAAUGGGCCCUGCCUCCGCGAUGAUCCUGGCCUUCGGGUGUAUCACCGUCCUCGGCCCUGUGGAAACCGCCCCGCGUCACCACAGCCACCAACACGUAGCCCAGGGGGUGACAAGGGCCGCCAGGUGCCAUCCUUACCGAUGGUGACGUCCCCGCGGAUCUCGCUCUCCACACACACCACAGCUCCCGGCGCGAUCUUCACGCUGUGGAGGGGACGCACAGCCGCCGGGCCGCCCUGGGCGGGGCCCGCUACGCUCCUCCCAGCGGUAGGGCAGCCCGACGGACCGGCUGCCGCGGGGCGGGACCCUCGCUCGCAGCCCUCACGUGCUCUCUCCUCGGAACCGGUGGCUGUGGGGCCCGGACCGGGCCGGCCGUGUCCUUUCCGCGGUCCGCCCAGUUGCCGGCAUGCCUGUCUCCGAGCUCCGCACAAGAGACGGGAGAACGCCGGGGAACGGGAGGAGCCCGAAGUUGCGGAUCCCACGAGGAAGCGUCCUGCACUUCCUGGUGACAAGGCAGACUCCCAGAAGCACCAGCAACAGCAGCAUGACAGCAGCAAAUGCACUCCCCAGGGAAGCACCCGUCUGUGAUAAGGAGGCUGCGACCACAGCUUCCUCCAUCUCCAAGAUCAGCGACUUCAUGUUGGUGCCGUUCUUGACCUGAUCGCCCUCGUUGUCGUAGAUCAAGGAGUCAUCCAGCAUCAGCCUCCCAUCACUGUCAACCAGGUCCCUGCGGCCACGCUUUAAGUGACAGAGCCUGUUUGCUGUAGGGAAAACAAAUCCAAAGCAGAAGCAGAGGACAGCACUGCAAGCAAAUUAUUUCGGGAAUGAGUGGUGGUACAAUUAUGUGAGACAGCAGAAGAGGACGUGGAGCUGCCCUGCCUUGGCGAGGACAAGAGAAAAUGGAGAAGGAAGUCUCUAUGUCUAAUAAUCAUUCUCACCUCUGAACUUGGCCUGGGUCUUGAACUCAAUAACCAGUCGGCCAUCCUCACGGAUGUAGAUUCUGAUUAUCUGCAGCCGGGCUGAGAGGACACUGUCCGUCUGAAUCCCUGUGUGGUACAGCAAGAACAAAGUCACUGGGGAGAACACGUGGCACAGCGGUCCUCAGGUGGUGUCUGUCAGCCCUUGGUAGCUCCAGAAGCAUCUGAGAGAGCUCCAAAAAGGCACAGUUGGACUGAGAUCAUCCUCCAGGUGAGUCAGCUGUACGCUUCCAGGUAUUGUAGGAAAGAAAAAUAAAUGAGCUGAAAAUAGAAGACUCACAGGCAAAGGAUAAACUGUAAAUAUACACAGUGAUGUCACGUCUUGGAUGUCACCGGCAGCGGUGGACAGGCACAGUAUGGGACCCACCACUGGCAGUACUGUGGUUUUAACAAGAAAGGGGCUAUGAUGUGAAAAAAUCAACCUGUAAGAGCUAGGAGGCUGAGGAUCACAACUGCAGUUCCCACGUGGAAUUCAGCGGAAAGCACUGGAGAAGCCAUGCCAAAUGUCCCAUGGGAAGCAACCUCUGCCUGGAUGCGGAGGCUCCAAUGAACACAUAGCUCUUUUCCUGCAGCAUCUCAGUGACGACUGUUUCCAUUAACAGACGUCGGGGGAAAUGACAACUCCCUUACUAAGCUUUCACAAAUGCAAGCACAACUGGACUGACACUGCAUGCUGCCCAGACUCGGGACUGCAGUGACAGUCAAGAAACUAAGAAAAAGGGAAAACUGAGAAGAAAACAAUACUCCUGUACACUCUCAAGUGCCUUGGACGUACCUGUCCUCCAGAGAACAGUGUCGUAGAAAAAGGAGAACUCCAUCUCUGUGUGAUGCUCAAGAGAAGCCCAGCCUCUCGGCGCUGUCACAUAAAUAUAGGACACAUAGAGGGGGACGUGGACUGUUAGGAAGGACUGAGCAGAGUCCCGUACCUGUCAACAGAACCCAAGCAGGUGAUUAUGCACUCUUCACAGGAGAGACACUGGCUUGGACUUGCAGCACCCUCUUUGUUCACAUUCUGCUCUGCAAAUGGGGAAAAAAGCCACAGUGUCUGUAACAAAAGACUCCUAUGUAGUAGAGGUGAGAUGAGACCAAGCACACUGGUGCAGUCAGGGGCAAAUCUUUUUCCCUUCCUUUUAAUGCCUGAACUAUUCACUGCAGGAAUAAAACAUCUGCAUCCACGUUACAGACUGCAGCCUAAAGGGAUGAGACACAAACACAACUGGGGAUGGCAGCAUGGAGUCCUGCCUGCCAUGCACUACUGUAGCUUCCUUGGUACCCCUGUGUCACACAAGCUCUGUGGCGCAGAUGUGGCCAGACUGGGGAAUGCUACUCUCACACAGUAGAAAUGUUCUAAAAAAACUCUGUAAAUGUGAGUGUUUUCCAGGCUGCUCCCACUAACUGAAUGACUAUCAAGCAAGCAAUGGUACUUGACUGCUGAGAGCAGAAUUUUAGAAAGGGCUCAAAAGAGCUCCCAGGUUCACUGCUCCCACUGUGGAUCCAAAAUUAAGCAGGCCCUUCUGACUGUGGGAACCCUCACCAGGCUUCUAGAAAGAGGGAGAAAGCUUGAGUCCCGGAUCAGCAACAAGUGUAUGCAUCACCCUUUUUGGCAGACCUCCUGAUAUGUGGAUUUGAACAUCUGUGAUGGAUGUAAAAUGAAAACGCCUACAGUGUUUCUGGGAAAUCAGAGGCAUGCAAGUUGUUCCACAGUCACUCCAAUGCAGGAAUUUGCAUUAAAAACAAUAAAUUAAUUUGCAAAACAUGUAUCACUAGAUGGUAAUUUGAAAAAUAAUAACAAAGAACUGCUGGGGAAGAAGUAUAGAAGCAUAGAGUGCUCCUCACAUAAUAGAAAAACCCUAUAAUUAAGUCAGAUAUCCACACACGAACCUUCUUUGCAGGUUUGACUGAAGUGCUUUCAUGUAUUUUAAAUAAGAGCAAGAGUUAAAGCACACUGCUGUCAUUAAUGCACCUAACAAAGGGAGUUGUGGUUACAGCUUUAUCUUGAAAAGAGUUUCCAAUUCCAUGAAUUAAAAUGAAGCAAUUCUGCUUUCUCAGAAGUGCCCUAAGAGCACUUGAAGCAUCACAGGUCUCUGGCUCUGAGUACAGCAUUUAUGAUCUGUGGGGCACAGCUGUACUGUGUGAGCCCUCAGAGAGCUCAGAGAGACAUUCCAGACUGGUCGGUGCCAGUCUCCACAUACUACAUAAUGCAGAUGCUCAGUUCAAGGAGCUUCUCUGGAUUUGUGUAAAUAACACAGAUGGUAUAAAAGGGAAGUUAACAAAACAUUCCAGACCUGCAGGAAUUAAAAUAGACUGUGUUGGCCAUAACGUUCUGACUGGAAAUCCAACGCAAGAAUCUAAUGCAGUUAAGACUCAUUUGAGUGAGGUGCACGUUUAUGAUCUGUCCAUGUGAGGGCAGUAAAACACAUCUUUGUCGUGAAAACCACUAUUUUACAAGAGAACAUUUCUGGCUUUUGGUGUGAGGGUAAUUAAUUAAGGAAUUACGUAAAAAUUUUGAUGGCUUCCCUUCACUGAACGUGGCCUCUGCUCUUUGUUCAUUCACAUGGGCAAAGAAUGGGGUAACAGUUGUAAGAGAACUGAACGCAGGUCUCAAUGUUUUGUAUUUCCUGGAUAUCCUUACGUUAGGAAAAAAGUACUCUGAAGAAGAAUAAAAGAAUAAAGCCUGUGUUAUCCCAGCCAAAAUAAAUGAAUUAUGUGUAUUUC